rnacentral:rRNA from 1 species
CCUACGGGAGGCAGCAGUGGGGAAUAUUGCACAAUGGGGGAAACCCUGAUGCAGCGACGCCGCGUGAGUGAAGAAGUAUUUCGGUACGUAAAGCUCUAUCAGCAGGGAAGAAAAACCGGCCUUAGGGCCGCCAGACGGUACCUGACUAAGUAGCACCGGCUAACUACGUGCCAGCAGCCGCGGUAAUACGUAGGGGGCAAGCGUGAUCCGGGUUUACUGGGUGUAAAGGGAGCGUAGACGGCAGCGCAAGUCUGGAGUGAAAGGCCGGGGCCCAACCCCGGAACUGCUGUGGAAACUGUGGAGGUGGAGUGCAGGAGAGGUAAGCGGAAGUCCUAGUGUAGCGGUGAAAUGCGUAGAUAUUAGGAGGAACACCAGUGGCGAAGGCGGCUUACUGGACUGUAACUGACGUUGAGGCUCGAAGGCGUGGGGAGCAAACAGGAUUAGAUACCCCGGUAGUC